UCAGUGGGGUCAUGCAUGAUACAAUCAUUAACAAAAUUUACUCAUAUAAAUAUAUACAAUUAAUAUACAACGUCACGAUAUAAAGAAACGAAUAAUUAACUAUAUCUAAUAAGUACAGCUAAGAAUAGUUAUAUGGUAUGUGACCUUAGUAAAGACUUAAAUUGACUCAAAGAAUCAGUGUUUCUGACGGAAACGUCCAAGUUGUUAAAGUCUUUCGAAGCGAGGUAGGUUGGUUUAUGUUUGCCCCAGUUCGUGUUGACUUUCGGGAGAUGUAGGUUGUUACACGAUCUUGUACUGUGGGAAUGGAUUCUGCUGUUAGUUGUGAGAUUGAAGUCGAAAUCUAUCAGUCCAUUAGUGCAUUUGUAGAUAAAGAUACAACGAUGUUUAUAUCUGCGAGAUGAGAGAGUUGACCAGUGUAAUGUAGCGAGAGCUUCGGUUGCCGACGAAAGAGGAGGGAGAUCUAGUAUUAAUUUAGCUGCUUUAUUUUCCAAACUUUGCAAGGAGUUCAUGAGUUCUGAAUUGAAUGUCAUUAAACGCAUUUAAAACCUUGUUUCGCGGCAGACCUCAACAUAAUACUUAAGUCUUAUCAUAUUAUGUGGUGUACUGUGUAAUAUGUAAUGUGUAAUGUGUAAUUUGUAAUUUGUAACUAUAUACUAAUUGUAAUUAUUAACCUAACUUUUUUUGUAAAUAUGUAUUGUGCAACGCCCCCUUGGAAAACAGCUCUUAUCUAUGCUGAAGGGCUACCGUUGUUUUUAAAGAAGAUUAAAUAAUAAUAAUAAUAAUAAUAAUAAUAACAAUAACUAAAACC